AAGGCCUGAUGUGUGUGAGAUUACCCGCUGAAUUUAAGCAUAUAAGUAAGCGGAGGAAAAGAAACUAACUAGGAUUCCCUUAGUAAUGGCGAAUGAACAGGGAUCAGCUCAGUGCCAAAUCGGAAUCACUUGUGGUUCUGAAAUGUGGCUUGAAGGCAGUACCAGUGGCAUCGCGGACGAAAGUCUCUUGGAAAAGAGCGUCAUAGAGGGUGAGAAUCCCGUGAGUCGUUCGCCGUUUGUCACGUACGGUCUGCGUUCUAACGAGUCGCGUUCCUUGGGAUGGAGCGUAAACGGGUGGUAAAUUCAUCCAAAGCAAAUAUAUACUCGAGACGAUAGCACAAAGUACGUGAGGAAAGUGAAAGACUUUGAGAGAGGUUAAUAGUGCUGAAUCGUGAGAAGAGCGGAUGCGCGUGCAUAUGCUGAUUGUAGAUGCUGCUCGCUCUGUCUU
rnacentral:ncRNA from 1 species